CAGCAGCCGCGGUAAUACCAGCAGCCCAAGUGGUGGUCGCGAUUAUUGGGCCUAAAGCGCUCGUAGCCGGGCCGGUAAGUCCCUUGUGAAAUCGGACGGCCUAACCGUUCGGCGUGCAAGGGAUACUGUCGGUCUUGAGGCCGGGAGACGUCCGAGGUACUCCGGGGGUAGCGGUGAAAUGUUCUGAUCCUCGGGGGACCACCGGUGGCGAAGGCGUUCGACGAGAACGGGCCUGACGGUGAGGGGCGAAGGCUAGGGGAGCAAACGGGAUUAGAUACCCGCGUAGUCCCUGUCUCUUAUA
rnacentral:rRNA from 1 species